CCUACGGGAGGCAGCAGUGAGGAAUAUUGGUCAAUGGGCGUAAGCCUGAACCAGCCAAGUCGCGUGAGGGAUGAAGGUUCUAUGGAUCGUAAACCUCUUUUAUAAGGGAAUAAAGUGUGGGACGUGUCCUGUUUUGUAUGUACCUUAUGAAUAAGGAUCGGCUAACUCCGUGCCAGCAGCCGCGGUAAUACGGAGGAUCCGAGCGUUAUCCGGAUUUAUUGGGUUUAAAGGGUGCGUAGGUGGGCUUUUAAGUCAGCGGUGAAAGUCUGUGGCUCAACCAUAGAAUUGCCGUUGAAACUGGGAGGCUUGAGUAUGUUUGAGGCAGGCGGAAUGCGUGGUGUAGCGGUGAAAUGCUUAGAUAUCACGCAGAACCCCGAGUGCGAAGGCAGCCUGCCAAGCCACGACUGACGCUGAUGCACGAAAGCGUGGGGAUCAAACAGGAUUAGAUACCCUGGUAGUC
rnacentral:rRNA from 1 species